rnacentral:rRNA from 1 species
GAUGAACGCUGGCGGCGUGCCUAAUACAUGCAAGUCGAGCGAACAGACGAGGAGCUUGCUCCUCUGACGUUAGCGGCGGACGGGUGAGUAACACGUGGAUAACCUACCUAUAAGACUGGGAUAACUUCGGGAAACCGGAGCUAAUACCGGAUAAUAUAUUGAACCGCAUGGUUCAAUAGUGAAAGACGGUUUUGCUGUCACUUAUAGAUGGAUCCGCGCCGCAUUAGCUAGUUGGUAAGGUAACGGGUUACCAAGGCAACGAUGCGUAGCCGACCUGAGAGGGUGAUCGGCCACACUGGAACUGAGACACGGUCCAGACUCCUACGGGAGGCAGCAGUAGGGAAUCUUCCGCAAUGGGCGAAAGCCUGACGGAGCAACGCCGCGUGAGUGAUGAAGGUCUUCGGAUCGUAAAACUCUGUUAUUAGGGAAAAACAAAUGUGUAAGUAACUAUGCACGUCUUGACGGUACCUAAUCAGAAAGCCACGGCUAACUACGUG